AGAUUCAAAUCUCAAAAAAUAAUUAAUGAUAACUUCUUUUUCGCAUUAUUUAACUGUUUCUUCACAAGUGAACGAAUUUGGAAUAUUGUUCCUGUACGAGUUUAAACUGGGCCAUGAGUGCAGCCGAAGCGCAUCGAAAUAUUAGGUUAGCUUUCGAAGAAAAUUCCAUCGAUGAGAGAAUCUUUC